CUGAGCGAGGGCGCCUCCCGCGCCCGACCUCCCACCCUUUGUCGAUUGAAACCUUUGUUGCCUCGGGGGCGACCGGCCCCUCGCGGGCGUCGGGCCCCCGACGGACCACUCAACUCUGCGUCUUUGCGUCGGAGUCUCAAGUAAAUUGAAUCA
rnacentral:misc_RNA from 1 species